ACCUCCUACAUCUUCGCCUCUAGUGGCGCCACAGGUGACCACCACUGCCGUCGCCACCACCUCCUCCCUCGCCACCCUCUCUCUCUUCUCCUAUUCUCUUCACCGAUCUUCAUCGGUCGUCUACUUCGUCUUCUCCACUCUCGUCGUCGGUUCCAAAACCUUAACCCUAUCUUCUAUCUUCUCCAAUCCCUCCACAAGCCAUAUGUUCGAAUCCAGACCCUACACUCCCCUCAACUGUUUCAGAACCUUUGUCUACAAAGGACUACCGCUGGACUUGUCAGAACGGGGGAUCUCGAAUGGGCUGAUUGCGAUCAGAAAGAUCAGGGGGCGAGGCACAUUAAUGCGUUAGAAACGAAAUCGAAAGAUGGACAGUUUAUCUUUGCCCUAUUUUUUCUCUCCAUUUAUGUUUAAUCGACCCCUCAAUCUUCUCUGAUUAGAACUCUACACCAGAUUUGCCGGUUCAGUCCAACUCCAGGUUCAGCCUUGAGUUAAUAGUCACUGUUGGCGAGGAUUGUACAUGUCGUGUGUGGGGACUGGAUGGUAACCAACUUAAGAUGAUAAGGGAGCACAUUGGGAGGGGAAUAUGGUGAUGCUUGUAUGAUCCAAACUGUUCACUACUUGUUACUGCUGGAUUUGACUCAUUAAUUAAAAACACAGCUGCUGAAUGCUUCUCUGUUCAAGAGCUCAGAGAGGCAUGAUGGGGCAGCAAAAGAACUCACUGAUAGAACAAAGAUCUUCACUGUUCGUAUCCCACGUUCAUCUAAGCAUAUUGGACUUAUGAAC